UACAGAGGGUGCAAGCGUUGUUCGGAAUUACUGGGCGUAAAGCGUGCGCAGGCGGUUUUGUAAGUCUGACGUGAAAGCCCCGGGCUUAACCUGGGAAUUGCGUUGGAGACUGCAAGGCUUGAAUCUGGCAGAGGGGGGUAGAACUCCACGUGUAGCAGUGAAAUGCGUAGAGAUGUGGAGGAACACCGAUGGCGAAGGCAGCCCCCUGGGUCAAGAUUGACGCUCAUGCACGAAAGCGUGGGGAGCAAACAGG
rnacentral:rRNA from 1 species